rnacentral:rRNA from 1 species
UACGGAGGAUGCAAGCGUUAUCCGGAAUGAUUGGGCGUAAAGCGUCCGCAGGUGGCUAUGUAAGUCUGCUGUUAAAGAGUGAGGCUCAACCUCAUAAGAGCAGUGGAAACUACAUGGCUAGAGUGCGUUCGGGGCAGAGGGAAUUCCUGGUGUAGCGGUGAAAUGCGUAGAUAUCAGGAAGAACACCGGUGGCGAAAGCGCUCUGCUAGGCCGCGAACUGACACUGAGGGACGAAAGCUAGGGGAGCGAAUGGG